CUACAGAGGGCGCGAGCGUUAAUCGGUAUUACUGGGCGUAGAGCGCGCGUAGGCGGCCUAUUAAGUCAGAUGUGAAAUCCCCGGGCUCAACCUGGGAACUGCAUCUGAUACUGGUAAGCUAGAGUUUUGGAGAGGGAAGUAGAAUUUCAGGUGUAGCGGUGAAAUGCAUAGAGAUCUGAAGGAAUACCAGUGGCGAAGGCGACUUCCUGGCCAAAAACUGACGCUGAGGUGCGAAAGCGUGGGUAGCAAACGGGAUUAGAAACCCCUGUAGUCC
rnacentral:rRNA from 1 species